UUGAAAGGGAAACGAUUGAAGGCAGUCGGACCCGCGAGAAAUCAACCUUUCGAGUGGGGGUUUUGGAGUUUUGAAGAGUUUCAAAACCUUUGAGGUUUCAAAAAUUUCGCUCUUUUGGUGUACUUUCUCGUGGGUAGGUUAACAUCGAUUUUGAUCAUCAUAAAAAGAUUGGAGGAAUGUAGCUUCGAUCUUGUAUUGAAGUGUUAUAGCCUUUGGUAAAUGUGAUGAUUAGGAUCGAGGAUUGCAACGAAUACCCUUUUGGGCUAUCCGCCUGAUCUCUGAUACGUGGCCUUGGUAUCGAAAGCUUGCUUAUGGUAUUAAGGUAUUACGGUCAAAAGGUUAGAACGGAUUACAUUCGUUAAGGAUGUUGACGUA
rnacentral:rRNA from 1 species